AGGGCAUCAGAAGAUUCUGUGGUGAGAGCCCACUUCCUAGAUGACUUGUUUGUUUUGUUCUGUUUUUGCUGUAACCUUGAGGAGUAGCGUUUCAACACGUGAAUUUUCGAGUGGCCCAACCAUUCAGCCCAUAGCGCCAUCCCUUCAUUAAACUCUUUAGCUGAACCGGCACGUGCUGGAAAUGUAGGUAGGAGCUGUUGCCUGCCGGACUUGCUACCACAAAAACGAAACAUCUGCAGGAAGUGGAUGAGGCCAAAAAUCGGCAAGAGGCAGGGCUGAGAAGUGAAGAGGAGAAAAAAAAAUUCAUGAAAUCAGUGAGCCCUCAGACCCUGCAGUGCCUGACACCACCUACCUCCCCAUCCUUCUCUGUACGUGAACCAAUAAAUCUUUUUUGAGUGGGAUUUCUGACACUUGAAAUUGAAAGAGCCCUGGCUAAUACACAGGGUUAUGGCAAAAACACUGUGGAGACGAGACCUCAGAAAAUCCAACCUGGAGGUGAGCAAAACAGAAACAGGAAGAGGGAAGAGUGGAUACAAUAGGCAGUAAGACAAAGUGAGAAGAGGACCCAACUCAGUCAGAGCACCAGGGUUUAUGUUCCAGCUCUGCCAUUUGCCAAUGACCUUGGUAAGGUGUGCUCUUGGGUGACAGCAUAACAUUUCCGUUUAAUGAUCUGCAGAGUGGGCGACUCUGAUCUCUCGGCCGUAUAUAAUACGAUGCGCUGAGGGAGGCUCACCUCAGAUAAUAAAUGUGAGCGCUCUUUGUAAAUGUUAAGUGCUUUCGAAUGGCAUUUACUGCACAGAAUGCAGCACAUUUAAAAGACUAUGGAUUGAAAUGGGGACGAGAAGGGUAAAGUUAGGGCAUAAGCAGCUGAACUCUUGAGAAAAGAAUAUAGAAAUCAGUUAAUGGUUGAAUCUUCUAUGAAGCAUCUAAAGGGCAGAAAAUACUGUCAUUGGUUUGAAGAAAAACAUGUGCAAAAUCUAUGCAAAAACUAGGAAACAGUUCUAAAGCUGUGCAUGAGUGAAGAGUGGAAAGAGAGAGAAGAGAGGAGAACCAAUGUUUGGGAGGUGUCCCCGAUAUCUCAUCUGGGUACCGCACAAGCGCUCACCUGACCCAUGAAGCGACACUGGUCUUACUGUCAGAUGUAACUGUCCCAGUGUCAGACUGGAGGAAAAUAAGUCUCAAAACUUACAUUCAAGCCCAGGUCUUCAUGGUUCUAAAACUGAGUCCCUAGACUACACACUGAUAAUACACUGGAAUGUAGACUUUGGGGUUAGAUGAAGAUAAGCUUAGUUUUCUUUCCAGAUAAGAGGAAUCGAUCAAUUGCUAUUUUAAAGAAUUCUAAAAUCUCUUUACAUUUUUAAAAGUCGGUUGUGGAUGGGGUUCUGCCAGAGUUAAAGUCUAGUGCUUUCAGGAAUUAUUAGAAGUGUAUUUCUUCUCAUCUGUGUGUCAAGAUGAGAUUUUAGGGGCUGGGAUUCUACCCCCACUUAAAAGCAAAUAAGGUAGCCUGUUACUAUUUUAUAAAGAAUCAGAGAACUUGGGAAGUAUUAUAUAACUGGCUUUGGGACUUACAGCUGGUAGAUGUCAGAGUUAGGAUUUAUUCUCUUAGCUCAAGCCCCAACCAACAAGCAAUACUGCCUUUGUCAGAAGCUAUGGACAGUGAAGAUGUAAUCAUCAAAGACCAUUUAAAUGUGUAGGAUCUGGCCAAGGAUGGCAGAGCUGAGCAAGCAGCUCCAUCUUAAAACCUGACAGUAGCACUCAGGUGACUAUUGAAACCACAACAGCCAGGGGUCUUGUCUAGCUGCCCUUGGUUCCUAAUGCAGCUACCCUGAAUGCCAUUGUGUACACUCAGGCAAAAGAGAGCCAGCUUAUUCCUUUGCCAAACUAUCUCCAGUGAUAGACAAUAACCCAGCUUUCAGACAAUGCCUUUUGUCUCACUGAUGCUGUGUUACCUCUCUCAAGCCACGACAUUGAUACCAUUGUGUCUCAGUCGCACCUUUUCUGGCACACCAAUACCCAACAGGCUAAGAGAUUUGAUGAUCAUUCCGCUGAUGUCAAGUCGGUGCAGUGCUUCUACAGAAUCACGGGGCUUAAAGCAUCUUGCAGCAAGAGCAGCAGAACACUGAUGCCAAUAGAAGAAAAAAAAAAAUGCCUACUUCCCCAAACAACAGUUUUUGGCAAUUGCUUGUCUUGGCUAAAGCCUUUAUGUUUUUGGCAUAAUGUUUACUUUAUGGUCCAAUCAUCAAACCCUGAUGUGGCUAUGAAUAAAGAUUAUGUUGAAUAUGAAGAACAAAUUACAAAGAUGGCUGUGAAAGCCUUGCAGAUUCCAAAUGAAUAUGCACCAGGAUGGGAGAAAAUCUUGGCAGAUACUUCUCUUGGAAGAGAGGGAAUAGUGUAAUUACCUACUGACUCUGGGGACUUUACCUUCUGCUUCUCCAAAGAAGAAGUCCUUGAUGAUAGAUUUUGCAUUAGCUACUUCCUAUUGUGAUAUCUUGAUGGCUUCAGUUUGCUUAAGCAUUUAUUUCAAUUGAUUAUGAACUUAUCCUAGUAUUUUCAGAAAUUAUAAGACCACUGUAUCAAUUCCCCACCCAGUAGUGACCACUCCCCACCUUCUUUGUUAAUUCAGUGGUAAAAGAAGCCUGAAAAUAGCCUGGAAGUAGGCUCAGCUCCCAAUUUAAUUAAACCAUGACUCUGUUUUUUUGGCAGAACAUUCCUCCUUAGAAUAUAGAUCUCGAGAUAGGGAUAACACUACACAUUUAUCUAGCCAUUCUCAUUUCCCUUGUUCUUAGGCUCAUGCAUUCUGGUUCCAGAUGGCACCAGAUAUUGUCUGCUGGCUUAAGGUACUUGCUUGUAAAGGAACUCUCUUUAUCAGACCAUUCCAGUAAUCUAUCAAGUCAUCUGCUGCUCAGUGACAGGAGAGGGUAGUGAAUGCUGAAAGCAAGAGCCAUUUGCCACACCUUCUUCACCCCCAAAUAAGUACCUUCUAAAGCUGCCACAUUUUGUGAGAUACCAUGUCAAUGGACAAGGCAUUUGGAGGCCCGUGAGUGGGAAUGCCAACAGAAGAAUUCUGAGGAAGACAAAUAUGUAUCUGGGAUAUAUACUAUUCACUCCUGUGAGGACAAAUCAUUGCCCACCUCAGGGAAUGGUGAUGUAUUAGGACUCAGAGUUGGCUUCUAUUGUUGGCAAGUUGGGCAAUCAAUAGCGGCUCUAGCCAGAUCAACCUUGGGGAGAAGUCCAUGUUAAGCCUCCAGAUUUGUCUCUGCUGCCAAUCUCUAUAUGAGCUCAUUGAACAAAUGCCAAUGUAGCUGAGGAAAGAGAGUGACUGACAGUCACCUUUCCUACUGCCUAUCAAAGCAUUUGCAUGUCAGUUGUUAAAAACCGGGUGCCAGGAGUGUUUAUUAAUUUUCUCCGAUAAAGAUACCACAUCCCAAACUUCAACUGUGAUUGCCAUAAACACCUGAUUAAGUCUGGGGCAAUCUAUAAUUAUUCUCUAAGACCCAUCUGGCUUUUGCACUUGCCAAACAGACUAGUCAAAUGGAAACGUGGCAAGAAUAAUCACCCUUGCAUCUCCCAAGUCUCUGACGAUGGCAUUAAUCUUUGCAGUUCCUCCAGGGAUGUCACAUUGCUUUAAACUGAUUAUUUUGGGACUUCUUCCCGGCUCUUCCUAUCAAUAUAAUCUUCAUUCCACACCAUAGGGAACUAAUGUGAGUGUUCUGGCAGUAGAGUGCAUCAGUUCUCACUAUACUUUUAGUGAGUGGGAAAACAACCAGAGGAUGAGAGUGGCUAAGAGGAGGCACUUUUGCAUGCCAAGGAGUAUCAGUGUCUUACCUCUUUCCCUCUCAUCCCAUUGUGGAGAUUAUCUAUACAAUCCCCAAAUAUGGGCAAUUCAAUCACAGAAUCCCAUUUUAAGAGGCUGUGUCUUGGGGCCACUUCUCUCAGUACUAAUUACCAUGUAACUCAAUAUUCUGGCAGAAAACAAGUAAUACAUUCAAAUUGGGGUAAUUGGAGAGUGCUAUAAAGGGACAUUUUACAAAGAUGUGGGCAGAUUUAAUAAAAACCAAUAAGGGGUAGAGAAGCCCCAUGGGGUUAGUAACAGUGGGGGGCACCCAUUGGAACUCAAGAUAGGGAACCCAGAAAGAGCUAUAAACUUCAGUAAGGAUUGUAGACACUGCCAACCUGUGGCCCAGCGAGAAGGUAGCCAAAGAAAUAAAUACAUUGACUUCAAUGCGCUGCCACCUUCCAACACACCUGCUGCUAUCAUCCGUCUGCUCAACCCAAUGGGAAAUCAGAGAGCAAGGGGGCCAUUGGUGCAGCCCACAUAUGUCAUGGUCUUCUUCCCCUUCUCUUCUCUCAGCCUAGAGUCUUACAGCAGAGGAGGGGGUGAGUGGGUCUGAGAUUAACUGAGAAGAACUAUCACUCCUUUAGGCUCUUACAUCUCCUUUCCUCAGCCCCAAUACAUUUACACCAUUAAAACACAGAAAUGUAGAGCUUGCAUUGUGACUCCGUGGAUUGGGUACCGAACAUGGUCUCCAUGAGGAUGUGGGUUCCAUGCCUGGCCUCACUCGGUGGGUUAACAAUCCAGUGUUGCCUCAAGCUGCAAUGUAGGUCACAGAUGUGGCUCAGAUCCGGUGCAGCUGUAGCUGCGGCUGUGGCAAAGGCUGGCAGCUGCCACUCCGAUUCAACCCCUAGACUGAGAACGUCCCUGUGCUGCAGGUGUGGCCAUAAAAAGAAAACAAAAAUAAUUUUUUAAAAUUGCACCAGUUUUAAAAAAAAAGAAAAGCAGGAGUUGAACAAAUACAUUUAUGUCAUGAUGAGGGUCCAGAAGAGCAAGGCUGGGUCCACCUGUUGCUCUGGCCUGCCCGGCAGCAUUUUCCCCUUCACCUGGUGACAAUAUCACAUUUUACUUUGGGGGUAUUAUGGACUAAAAAUCCUCUUCCCCAGAUGCUUACAGUGAAGCCCUAUCUCCCUGUACAUCAAAAUGUGACAGUAUUUGGACACAGGAAUUUGCGUAAUUAAGGUAAAGUGAGGUCGUAGGGUGGAGCCCUAAUCUAAUAGGACUGGUGUUCUUCUAAGAAGAGGAAGAGACAGAGUUCCCGUCGUGGCUCAGCAGAAAUGAAUCUGACUAGCAUCCAUGAGGUCACGGGCUCGAUUCCUAACCUCACUCAGUGGGUUAAGGAUCCAGCAUUGCCAUGAGCUGUGGUGUAGGUCGCAGAUGCAGCUAGGAUCCUGCCUUACUCCAAUUUGACCCCUAACCUGGGAACCUCCAUAUGCCAUGGGUGUGGCCCUAAAAAGACAAAAUAAAUGAAUAAAUAAACAGCCCAGUCUGCAGCAUCUUGUUAUUGCAACCCCAGCACUCUAAGACAGGAGGGCUAAACAUCUCCCAAUACUCACGAAUAAUGGUAAAAAUCAACAUACAAGCCAAGACUCCUCAGGCCAAGCCCACAACCCCACCCAGCUAGACCGAUUUUCUCUCUUAAUGGAAUUUUAAUUCCAGGGGAGGGAUGCAUGGCAGACAUUGCCAUGGCACUUGGCCCAAACCGACCAUACUUAACUCCUCCUUUCCAAUGUCAGCUCAGUCAACUUUUUCUUCAGUUUGUGGAGUUACUUCCUUCUGCUGUGAUAUUUUCUUUCUUUUUUCUUUUGCUUAAUUAGCAAGAGUCGUUUCUAGUACCAACAAUAAUUGACAUGUGAAUCUCAGGUAGCCUAAACAUAGAAAAGGUUUCCCCUCAAAAACCUAACUUCUCACCAACCAUUAAUUCUGUUUAAUGUCGCCACCCAAACUCAGUUUCCGUAGAGCGUGUUUCAAGUGACAGGUCCUGGAAGAUAACGGAAUGUGCCAAAGGAAAAGAGAAAGGAAGCCAAACGACCUGAACUGCACCUUCCUGGGAUGUAUAAAAUAAACCGUGAAAGUUAUAAGGCAAGUCUACUCCCAUCAAUGAUGGUGUGAGCAGAGGGAGGGCGGCCUGGACUUCCUCCGAUGAAAGAAAGACUCCAGAAGCUUCUGAGCAUGGCCCUUCCAGAUAGCGCUUAUGAAAAGGCUUGCAAGUAGGAGUGAGACAAGAGGAGUUAUUUUUAGAAAGAUCAAGAAGGAUCUGGAGUUCCCGUCAUGGCUCAGUGGUUAACGAAUCCGACUAGGAACCGUGAGGUUGCGGGUUUGGUCCCUGGCCUUGCUCAGUGGGUUAAGGAUCCGGCGUUGCCGUGAGCUGUGGUGUAGGUUGCAGACGCGGCUCAGAUCCCGCGUUGCUGUGGCUCUGGUGUAGGCCGGUGGCUACAGCUCCGAUUGGACCCCUAGCCUGGGAACCUCCAUUUGCCAAGGGAGCGGCCCAAGAAAUGGCAAAAAGACAAAAAAAAAAAA
rnacentral:lncRNA from 1 species